GUAACACGUGGGUAAUCAACCCCGACACUGGGAUAUUCCGGGGAAACCCGGAUUAAUACCGGAUGCUCCGUCUGGCUUGCGGGCCGGCCGGAAAAGGGUAGCUUCGGCCUCCGGUCGGGGACGAGCCCGCGGCGGAUUAGCUUGUUGGUGGGGUAAAGGCCCACCAAGGCGACGAUCCGUAGCUGGUCUGAGAGGACGAGCAGCCACACUGGGACUGAGACACGGCCCAGACUCCUACGGGAGGCAGCAGUAGGGAAUCUUGCGCAAUGGGCGAAAGCCUGACGCAGCGACGCCGCGUGAGGGAAGAAGGCCUUCGGGUUGUAAAACUCUUACAGGAGGGACGAAGCCACUCAGGUUAAUAGCCGACAGGGUGACGGUAACUCCAGAAGAAGACCCGGCUAACUACGUGCCAGCAGCCGCGGUAAUACGUAGGGGGCAAGCGUUGUCCG
rnacentral:rRNA from 1 species